rnacentral:rRNA from 1 species
GACGAACGCUGGCGGCGUGCCUAAUACAUGCAAGUCGAGCGAAUGGAUUAAGAGCUUGCUCUUAUGAAGUUAGCGGCGGACGGGUGAGUAACACGUGGGUAACCUGCCCAUAAGACUGGGAUAACUCCGGGAAACCGGGGCUAAUACCGGAUAACAUUUUGAACCGCAUGGUUCGAAAUUGAAAGGCGGCUUCGGCUGUCACUUAUGGAUGGACCAGCGUCGCAUUAGCUAGUUGGUGAGGUAACGGCUCACCAAGGCAACGAUGCGUAGCCGACCUGAGAGGGUGAUCGGCCCCACUGGGACUGAGACACGGCCCAGAGUCCUACGGGAGGCAGAAGUAGAGAAUCUUCCGCAAUGGACGAAAGUCUGACGGAGCAACGCCGCGUGAGUGAUGAAGGCUUUCGGGUCGUAAAACUCUGUUGUUAGGGAAGAACAAGUGCUAGUUGAAUAAGCUGGCACCUUGACGGUACCUAACCAGAAAGCCACGGCUAACUACGUGCCAGCCGCCGCAGUAC